rnacentral:rRNA from 1 species
UGAGGAAUAUUGGUCAAUGGGCGUAAGCCUGAACCAGCCAAGUCGCGUGAGGGAAGACGGCCCUAUGGGUUGUAAACCUCUUUUGUCGGGGAGCAAAGCCGCCCACGUGUGGGCGGAAGGAGAGUACCCGAAGAAAAAGCAUCGGCUAACUCCGUGCCAGCAGCCGCGGUAAUACGGAGGAUGCGAGCGUUAUCCGGAUUUAUUGGGUUUAAAGGGUGCGUAGGCGGCAUGGUAAGUCAGCGGUCAAAUCGAGGGGCUCAACCCCUUUCCGCCGUUGAAACUGCCGUGCUUGAGUGGGCGAGAAGUAUGCGGAAUGCGUGGUGUAGCGGUGAAAUGCAUAGAUAUCACGCAGAACUCCGAUUGCGAAGGCAGCAUACCGGCGCCCUACUGACGCUGAGGCACGAAAGCGUGGGGAUCGAACAGGAUUAGAUACC